AAGUGAGGAUGGGAUUAUCUGC
rnacentral:miRNA from 1 species